AAUAACAUUGUGUAACUAGCAUUGGUGAUCUUUACCAACUCACCAAACCAGCAAAGAAGAGAAGAGACCCUGAGCUGCAUGCUGGUGCAACUUACAGAGCUCUUGUGAAACUACUCCUAAGAAUGAGGAAAUAUGACAUUGCUAGUAAAGUGUUCAAACAUUGCCAAGAGAAUGGUAAACUUACAUAGUACAUGUGUAGCGUAACAUAAUCUGUUUUGUGAUGGAUCCAUGCUUGUGAGUAGAAUUUGAAUGCUCCUAAUUUAUACUAGGGAGGCAUUUGUGAGUCAGAAGUAUGUGAUCCUCUACCUGCCUACAUUGUACGAGAGCUUAGCUUACAAGCCCCCUCAUAACAAUGACCUCAAGGACUGAUAAUGCAUUUAUCAUACACAUGAAUUGUGUCACAUGACUAUGUGCUACUGUUUCAAUGUUACAGUGUUGUACAGUGCGUGAGGUGUGUGCCAAGUUCACCUCCAUGCCAUUGUCACUGAGAGUGUGUGAGGAGAAGGUCAAGGCGAGGAUGGGAUUGGUGAAGUGUGUCAACCACAACCUAGUGGAGCCCUACCAUCAUCUACGAGAAACACGGUGAGUAUGUUGCACAGAUGAAGUUCACUCUGCUGCUAAUGCCCAAUGGACCACAAAGACUCACCAGUGGCUCCUUUGACCCUGCAUGAGCUAGUGUCUUCACAGCUGAAACUGGAAGACCCUCGACUGAAUGUGAGUACAUACAAAUUAGCUCUAUUAAUUAGGACAGUGUGUUAUUUCAUGGGAAAUUCCUUUGAAUCUGUUCCAAGGUCUGUUUCAAAGCUUUCAGAAAAUAAUAAAAAUUGGGAAAUUAGAUCAAUGAUACUAGUUACGGCCAUUGAAACCCUCCCUCCGUUUAAUUGCUCCUUGGAGGGUGAGCCGGACCAUGUUUGAUGACUGGUUAGGCAGCCCCUCUAAUUAAUUAGAGGAAUGCAACCCGCUAAUUAAAUAAUAAUCAGGCGUUUCUAUUGCUCCCCUAAUUAAGUACUUGGGGGUAAAGACAUGGCCUAGCCACCAGUCAUAGCUUCAGCUCAGUCAUGCCCUAACCACAUGCAGAGAAGUUUACCCUAACCCUUACCAACAGAUAUGAAGAGCAAGCAUUACUAUACAGUAUAAUUUUAUAACAAUUAAAUACAGGGAAUUCAAGUUAUGGCAUCUAAAAGAGUCCCCAAACCAUUGAGCUUUUAGAAAAUCAUUGACAACGAUGCUUAUUUAUGGCAAGAGCACUUAUCUACUCUUGGUUACGGCCAUUAAACUGCAACCCCCCCAUCCGUUAAUUAAUGGUUCAGGGACUCUUUUAGCUGCCAUGCAUAACUUGAAUUCCCUGUAUUUAAUGUUUAGAAAGUAUGAAGGUGUCGAUCUUUAAAAAAUCAUAAAAAUUGUGAAAUUGGAUCAGUUACGGCCAUUGACAGUUGUUCAACCCUCCCUCCGUUUAAUCAAUGGUUUGGGGACUCUUUAGCUCCCAUAUAACUUAAAUUCUUAGGUAUUUAAUUUUUAGUGUAUAGAAAAUAGCUAAUGCUUGCUCUUCAUAUCUGUCGUUCCAUAUUCCGUUCCAUUCCGCAUUCCUUCUUUUACAAGAUGCCUUUCCACUUCCUCCUAUUGUGUACUACCAGCCAUAUACAGUGUAUUGUACAUGUACUGAGUCUAUUUGUUCAUGUACUUAGGUCUCCAGUGUGUGGGCGUAUCAUGCUCUAACCAUUUCCUCUCUC